rnacentral:rRNA from 1 species
UACGUAGGGUGCAAGCGUUAAUCGGAAUUACUGGGCGUAAAGCGUGCGCAGGCGGGGAUGUAAGGCAGGUGUGAAAUCCCCGGGCUUAACCUGGGAACUGCAUUUGUGACUGCAUCGCUGGAGUGCGGCAGAGGGGGAUGGAAUUCCGCGUGUAGCAGUGAAAUGCGUAGAUAUGCGGAGGAACACCGAUGGCGAAGGCGGCAUCCUGGACCAACACUGACGCUGAGUGAGCGAAAGCCAGGGGAGCAAACGGG